CAAGCCUGCAACCUUUAGCCAAAAAAGCGUAACGGCUAAUGCUAACGCUCCGCCUCUGGCGGCACGCAGGGAAGGAGACCAGAGCCCAUUUUUUGAAUGGAUGUCAAUGGAUGAGAGGCUUCACUAUGCUGAUUAAACAGCUUUUGUGUGGAAAUAGCUAAUCAUUUAAUUAAUCGACAGCCUGUUUGUAGAUUUUAGCUUGAUAAAAAUGUACUUUUUUAAGAGAAGGCAGACUAAGGAAUGUUCUCGGAAUCAGAUUUAUAUUUUGACACUCCUAACACAAAUAGCCAAACAUCAACUAAAAAUAUUUUAAAUGUUAAUGUUUAAAAAAAAAAAAAAAUGUAAAUGUACAAUAAAAAAAAUAGGCUUAUAAAAAUCGGAAAGCGCUCGAGUGGCCUCCACGCAAAAACGCGAUUUAGCGAACUUCGUGUUAGCGAACUGCGCUCUGAUUAAAAGCGCCGUAAAUGUUUCUUUCCUUAUACUUAUUCAUAUAUAUAUAUAUAUAUAUAUAGUAUAUAAUUUUUUUUGCGCAUUUACACACAUGCCUGUAUAUAAUGAACAAAAAUAAAUUAGGAGAGGAGGGGGGGCUCACGGAAAAUAAUGCCCCCCUUUCGGCUUCAGCGAGGAUGUUUUUCUAGACACAAAACGAAGACAAAAUAGACAUUUUAGAGACACAAUAGGCUAACUGCAAUCUGCUCACUCUAUCCCCUUUAUUAAAAAGGCCUACUUUUGUUUUACACAAUAUUUACUCAAAAUCUACUGGACAAAAGCAAAGCAUAAAUUGUAUCAACCGAUUAGGCUGUCAUUAGAUUUUUAUUGUCGUCAAUGCUAAUACUAGGCUAUGUAAUCGGUCUCAAGAUGUGUUUACAUGAGCAGCGCAGAUUGAAGUCUUUGGCCUUUUGUUUGUAAAGGAAUCCAGUUACAAUGUUGCAACUGAUGUCACUGCCAUUACACGAUAGGCUGAGAGGUGCCGCACGUGAUUAAGUUAGCCGUUACACUUUCUCCAAUGGUAAGAGGUACAGACCCUCUCAUCUCCCUACAAUAGUGGCCCUGUCCCAAAUGGCACCCUAAACACUCACGGCCUUCCUACGAGUCUGCACUUUCGUGACGUAACGUCGCUUUGACUGUCGGGAAGAAGUCUGUAGCGGAGCUCACACCAGUGCGGGCUCAGCAAAAGUGCGCAUCGAGGGCGCAUAUCGGCCACAAAGGGGGCGCUCGCAAGCACCCUUCUGAAGCCUAAAAUUGACAAAUGGGACACCCUACGGUCUCGUGGACUUAACGGACAUGCGUACACGGCAGCCAUUAUAAGUCCACAAGACCGAAAGUGCAUAGACGUGUGCCAUUUGGGACAGGGCCAUACAAUCUCUGCUUUUCUGACAUGGGUGUUUUCAAAUGUGAGUAUUAAAAAAACUAAAAACACAGUUCCUUGUGUUAAAAUCACAUUUGUUGAGCUACUGUAGAGUAAACUGCUGAAGGUGUAAAGAUGCUAGACAGUAUAGUUGUGAUUUUGCAGUAAAAACACAUUUUAUUAUGUAUAGAUAGCAGGGGAGCUUUAGUAAGCACACAUAACUUAAUUCUCCAAAGUGGAUUUACAUAAAUUCUAAACCAUAUACAUCAUAUACAAGAUGCUUACUAAAGGUUUAUUUCUAUCUAUUUAAAUCUUAAGUUGUAGUUUAUUUUAAUUAUUGUAAUUUCAAACAGAGCUAUUACCGCUUUUUCCUGAUUCUUGAUGUCUGUAUGUUUGCUGCAGAGCUUUUGUGGUGUAGCAGGACCUGCAAAGCAAGGUGAUGGCGGGGGGCGGGGGAAAGAAAGUAAGACAGACGACAUUGUGCUGUUAAAAUGAUUGCAUUUGUAUGACGUUUGUGCAUUUUUGUAUCUGAAAUGUCCUCAGAGUGGUGUGAGCACUUAGAUGCCCAGAUGUUACUGUGGUCUCUUCAUCCUCAGUGAGCCAGCGAGAGCAUCUAAAAAAAGACCAAAAGACUUUGAGGAUGUGAUUUUGGUCAAGUUUGUUCUGCUGGUUUCCGUUCAUACAUUGGAGCCCAACUUUCAUAAGCUUCAAAAGCAUCAUCAAAUAAUCUUCAUGAAUCUUCUGGAAGUCAGGCUUCAUUGACUGAUACUGUAUGAACAGAAACCAGCAGGACAAACUUGACCAAAAUCAUCUUUUGUGUUCAGAAAAAAAAAAAGGAGAAAAUAAAGGAACACAGGGUUUGAACAGUGUGAAGGCGAGUAAAUAAUAACUGAAUUUAUAUGUUUGGGUGAACUAACCCUUUAUGCCCCCAAAUAGAAACUGUAUGAAAUGUAUGUAUGCAUUUAUAUUAUAGUAGUACCUUGAAAAAGUAAACUUUAUGAAAUAAACAGCUUUAAUUAGCGUUUGUGCCCCAGACACUAACAAAAAAGGAUUUACAAAAUCACAUUUACAUUUGGCAGAUGUUUUUAUCCAAAGUGACUUACAGUGCUCUUAUAACUGGGACGAUCAAUGAGGAGUAACCUGGAUUAAAGUGUCUCGAUCAAGGACACACUGGUGGUGACGCUGUGGAGAUCAAACCAGCAACCUUCUGCUUACCAGUUCAGUGGUUUAGCCCACUAUACACCACAAAAGUAGUCAUAGAGCACAUGAAUGUUUGGAGCAGCGGCAGCCAGAUUGUCCCGCACAUCUUCUCCCACUCUUGCUUUAAGGUUGAGGGGUUCAAGGGUCCAUUAUCAUGGUCUUCCUCAUCCUCUGGGUCAACAAUGUCCCCAUUGAGAAGAGCAACAGUGAGGGACAUGAUGGAUGGCAAAGACAGGCGAAGGUGUUCACGGUGGUCAGCUGCUUUAUCAAAAUAAAGGCACAGCUGUGUUGAGAUGGCAGUGGGAUGUGCGGAUCACCGCCUGCAAAUACGUGAUUGUUAGAACAAUAAGUUUGAAUAAAGCUUUGUUUCAUGUGUU